rnacentral:rRNA from 1 species
AUUGAACGCUGGCGGCAGGCCUAACACAUGCAAGUCGAGCGGAAACGAGUUAUCUGAACCUUCGGGGGACGAUAACGGCGUCGAGCGGCGGACGGGUGAGUAAUGCCUAGGAAAUUGCCCUGAUGUGGGGGUAACCAUUGGAAACGAUGGCUAAUACCGCAUAAUGCCUACGGGCCAAAGAGGGGGACCUUCGGGCCUCUCGCGUCAGGAUAUGCCUAGGUGGGAUUAGCUAGUUGGUGAGGUAAUGGCUCACCAAGGCACGAUCCCCUAGCUGGUCUGAGAGGAUGAUCAGCCACACUGGAACUGAGACACGGUCCAGACUCCUACGGGAGGCAGCAGUGGGGAAUAUUGCACAAUGGGCGCAAGCCUGAUGCAGCCAUGCCGCGUGUGUGAAGAAGGCCUUUGGGUUGUAAAGCACUUUCAGUCGUGAGGAAGGUGUGUAGUUAAUAGCUGCAUUAUUGACGUUAG